rnacentral:rRNA from 1 species
UUGGAGGGCAAGUCUGGUGCCAGCAGCCGCGGUAAUUCCAGCUCCAAUAGCGUAUAUUAAAGUUGUUGCAGUUAAAAAGCUCGUAGUUGAAUUUCGGGAUUAAUAUGCUGGUCGUGCCAUUGGUACGUACUAGUAUUAUUGAUUUCUCCCUUCUGAUAAAUCAUGAUGUCAUUAAUUUGAUGUCAUGGGGAAUCAGGACUGUUACUUUGAAAAAAUUAGAGUGUUUAAAGCAGGCUCGCGCUUGAAUACAUUAGCAUGGAAUAAUGAAAUAGGACGUUUGAUUCUAUUUUGUUGGUUUCUAGGAUUGACGUAAUGAUUAAUAGGGAUAGUUGGG